rnacentral:rRNA from 1 species
UACGAAGGGGGCUAGCGUUGCUCGGAAUCACUGGGCGUAAAGGGUGCGUAGGCGGGUCGUUAAGUCAGGGGUGAAAUCCUGGAGCUCAACUCCAGAACUGCCUUUGAUACUGUGGAUCUUGAGUUCGGGAGAGGUGAGUGGAACUGCGAGUGUAGAGGUGAAAUUCGUAGAUAUUCGCAAGAACACCAGUGGCGAAGGCGGCUCACUGGCCCGAUACUGACGCUGAGGCACGAAAGCGUGGGGAGCAAACAGG